AUUUCUGGUAGUUCUUGCACUCCGGUCCGCUUCAGUUUGAAUUCAAAGUUUCUUUCCUUGCCUCUGGAUCCGGGAUCCCUCUCGAUCAUUUUCAAUCAGGUGCAAGAGCACGAAAAUAGGGUCCACUAGCAACCGAAAGAUAUCCUGAAAAUCCCAAAAGAAGCGUCUCUUUUGUAGUAGACAGCACCUAGAAAUCAGACAAGCAAACAAAUUGACCGACGCGUGCCACACAAAACCGCACGAAACUGUACCCAGCCACGAUUGCAGGAAAAAGAAGGUGCCCACUGAAUUCACGUCUGAACCACCACCACGGCACCACAGCUCCAACAAAGAAAGGGUAAAAAAGGAGAAAAAGAAAGCUAAAAAAGAGACAAAAAUCAGCAGCAAAAGUGGUGGGGGACGGAGUUCUUGGAGGCAGCAGACGGGGCAGCAGGGAUCCAAAUCCAAAUGAUCAUUCCCACCCCUGAUCUUAACAUGUCCACUCAAAAUGGGCCCGAUCGCCCAUUCCCCAUUCCCCC
rnacentral:lncRNA from 1 species